rnacentral:tRNA from 1 species
UGGGGUGUAGUUCAGUGAUAGAGCAUAUGCUUAGCAUACGUAAGGUCCUAGGCUCAAUCCCUAGCACCAAAA